rnacentral:rRNA from 1 species
GUCUCCCUGGAGAAUUAAAGGAUAGGGAGUCGGACCUGCCCGGUGACUAAUUGUUAAACGGCCGCGGUACCCUAACCGUGCAAAGGUAGCAUAAUCAUUUGCCUUUUAAUUGGAGGCUGGUAUGAAUGGUUUGACGAAAGCUAAGCUGUCUCUUCUAAAAUAAAUAGAAUUUAACUUUUAGGUGAAGAGGCCUAAAUUAAUUUGAGGGACAAGAAGACCCUGUUGAGCUUGAGUGAAAUUAUAAAAUUAAAAGAUAAAUUUAUAAUCUUUAAUGUGUGGUUGACAACUAUGUUUUAUAAUUAAUCUUUAGUUGGGGCGACUGAGGAACACACAAAGCUUCCUUUAUUAAUUAAUGAAUUUUUGUGGCGUGGAACGUUGAUUUUGUUUUAUCAAAAUGUGCUUGAUCCAAAAGUUUUUGAUCAAAGGAAAAAGUUACCACAGGGAUAACAGCGUAAUCUUUCUUGAGAGAUCUAAUCGAAAGGAGGGUUUGCGACCUCGAUGUUGGACUAAGAUAUCCGAAGGGUGCAGAAGCUCUUGAAGGUUGGUCUGUUCGACCAUUAAAAUCUU